GCCAGGCUUCUUCCACCUGAUCACCUAGUUUAACAGGCAAAGCCACAGGCCCAGCUGGGAAAGAGAGAGGAGAGCACUGGGUGGCCCUCCAAGCUCCUGCUCAGACUCCUUUCUCUGCCAGGCCUUCUUCUCUGGGCUCUCUUGCAAGUGGGUGGUGCUGAGCUCUGGGCUGUACUGGAUGCUGAUUUUCACCAGUGUUUUGAGGUCAGGUCUGGAGUGGGAGCCCCAUGCUGCCCUGAGCCCCAGUCUGCUGGUCAAUAAAACAGGAGCAGCCACAGAGACAGAGGCCCAAACAGCUGGGAAAUGGGAUCAACUAUACAGGACAGUGGAUGACGACUGCUUUCUUGGGCUCUGCAUAGUUCUCCCAAGGAAGGAACUUCUGGGGAAGAUUUCAGUUAACUGAGAUUUCUAGCCACUGUUCAGUUAGUUGAACCCAGUUCCUGAAACUGUGAAAUGUCAGAACUGGAAGGCUCUUAAAGACCAAUUGUCCCAUUUAAGCAAACAUGCUGGGUCAGGGAAGGGACCUUGUCAAGUCACACCCUGGACUCUACUGAGUGUGACAGACCCUCUACAGGAGGCCCUCUGGGGACCAGGUGUGGUUUGGGUGGACAGUGUUGGGGCAGGAGCCUUUGUGAGUCAGACAUUAGGAUCUCCAUAGCUGAAGGUAUUGGGAUGGAAUCUGUUCCAGCCAUGGCCCUUGCAGGAGCACUGAGAUCCAUCCCAGGUGAGAGUUGGACACCUCACUUAUGGCCAUAAUUAUGCCUGUGGGUUUAGACCAAGUUCCGUCUCUCUCUCAGGGUCUCCAUUUCCUCAUCUCUACAAUGAGAGGCUUAGAAAAGAUCUCUAGAGUCUCUACAAUCUUCAUUUUUAAAAGCAGUCAUGAUGUAUGGAUGAAAGCCAUAACUACUAUUUAUUAUCGAAAUAGCUAAGAUUGACCACACUCUCAUUCUGUGCUCAGCCCUGCACUGAGGCCUUUCCCUGUAUCAUUGUCCAUUAUCACAAGGCCCUCAGAUAAGGAGGCUCCAUGGUACAGGCGAGGAGGUGAAGCUCAGGGCAACUCAGGGACUUGUCCAUGAUCAGGCACCCAAGGGAAAGCACUGCACUCAUGUCUGUAGGACCCCAAAACCUGACCUUCAAACAUCAGUCUUAGCUCCCCAGCUGGUAUUGCCAGGGCUAGAACAAGAGAGAUCCCAAUAGAGAUGCCUCCACAGGGUAGUACUAGGUCCUGCCCUAGGAACAGAUGCUCUGGGGAGCUGUCCUGGGUGUAGAAGGCAGUAUCUGCUCUUGGUCCCUCUCCCAGCCCUGCCCCCUGCAACAGUACUGGCCACUUACAAGAGUCCUGGAGGGGAACUGAGGCCAACUUCACAUGCUUUGGGUGGGAAGAGAUGCCCAGAAAGGGUAUGUAUUAUGGCAAAAUGAGUGACUUGCCCAGGGCCACAUGGCCAGCUAGAGGCUCAACUGGGACUCAUGCAGUUGCCUGACUUUCAGGCCACAUCCUUUCUCCUCCAGCCAGUGUUUAUAGGAGAAAUCUGGGCAUUGAUUCUGGAAGCCCUCUUCCGUGCUUCUCUGCAGCCCUGCCACUGUCCCUCUGUGAGGUGCAGACUGCCAGUUACAUUCUUAGAGGAAAUCAAUUUCCCAUGAACAAAACAGCUAUCAUGUCUUCCUUUCUGCUAAACCCACUGCUCCAGGCUUGAAAGGCAGCAAAACACUACGGAUGACUCAAUGCUUAACCAAGCAGGAAAGAAGGUGACUCAAGGUCAGACAGACCUCUGGGACCAGUUCAGCAACGCUGUGGCAGCAACUCUGUCACUAAUCGCCUGAUGCUGCAGAUAACAGAGAGGAUCCUGGCCUUGGACUUUGCUGAGGAGGAGGAGGCAGUGAUUUCCACAACAAAGGGAGACCAGAGUGCCACCUUCCACCAGUCAUUCGCCCAGUAUCUACCGAGUGCUCAUUCUGUCCCAAGCAUUUUGCUAGGGGCCAGGGAACAAGUGGUGAUCAGAAGCAGAUUCCCAGUCCCCCAGGUGCAUAGUCUGGUGUGUGAGUGGAUGGUAAAUGGAGCGGCCAACAAACACACUGGAGCUCUCGGUGCAGAGUGUCGUGAAGUUUCUGACGGGACAGUUACCCGGGAGAGGAGAGGAAGGGGAGGCAGAGUCAGUUCUGAACCCUAAAAUUGGCAGAGUAAAGGUUGUCACUGCCAAGGCAGGGGUGAAUUCUCAGGUCUCAUCCUUGGCGGCUGUGCAGCAUUAGACAGCGGUGGUCUUUCUGGUCUUUUUGAAGUUCUCUCUCCUGUGUACACCAAUCUGUUCUUACCUGGCCUCUCUGAACGCUUCUCCUCAGGCUUCCUUGUGACUCUACUGUGAAGCUUCCUCAGGGUUCUCUUCUCUCUCUGGGAGUCUCCUGCAGAAACUCCAUUUACUCACUGCUCCCAGCAUCUCCUGCCCUUUCAUCUUAGCCCCCUGCCCCUGCAGGCCAGGCCCCAGGAGCAUCUGGGGUGUGACCACUGGCGCCCCAGGCACAUCUGCUCCGCAGUUCAAACCUCAACCUGCCCUCAACUGCUGCAGUUAAAAGAAAAACCUGGACUCUGGCACCUCCUCCCAUUGCUUAGCAGCUUUGUGACCUUGGGAUGCUCCCAAAGCCCCUGGAGGCUCUGAUUCAUUAUCUCAAAAAUGAGGACAGGGCUCCAACUGCAUCAGCUAUUGUGAAGGUUGAAUGAAAUAGUGUUGCAUGGCUGGGCAUGGUGGCUUAGACCUCUCAGCCCAGCACUCUGGGAGGCUGAGACAGGAGGAGUGCAAGUUCGAGCCCAAGUGGUGCAAUUUCUGAGACCCUAUCUCCAAAAUAUAAAAAAGGGCUGGAGAUGUAGCUCAGUGCAAAGGUACUGGGUUCAGCCCCCAAUACCAAAAAUAGAGAGAGAGAGAAAGAAAGAAAGAAAAAGAAAGAAAGGAAGGAAAUAGUGUUGCACACUGUCCAGCACAGUGCCAACUCUAGCUGGACACGCAGCAUAUAUUCCCUCUGCUCUGGUCAACCUCGUCCUUUUCACCCUCUAUGUUUAUUUGCUCAACAGCUUUUGUCAAGUCCAAUCAUAAAUAUCUCUUGGGUUCAUUCCCUCCUGCAUCCCUUAUGUCAUUGCACUAAUGCAGGACCUUCUGACUGACCUUUUUGCUUUCAGAGUUCCCAUCUGAAAUAUGUUUCCUGGGGCCAAUGCCUCCCUGUACUAUGACACCCAGGUUCUUUAUCAAGUCCUACAAGCUACAUCCCAAGUUGGCUCCCUUUUCUCUGAGACCCUCCUGCCCACCUCCUCCCACACCCCUCCAGGCACUGUCCUUCCAGGAUGCCAGGAAUGGCCACACACCCUUCCUCCUCCGCAUCUCCUCUUGUCUGACCACUUUCACAGAUGAUGUCAGGUUAUGACCUUUGCCAUCUCCCCUCCCUGUACCAGGCUGGACACUCUUUUCUCUGUGCUUCUGCUGUGACCAUUACUGAUACCCUCUGAGGACACAGCAUAAAUGUCAUAAGUGUCAAGGACACCCUGUGUCCUUGGUAGAGGAUCUGCUUUUCCCACAGGGAAAACCUGAUAUCUGGCUCAUCUUUGUGUCCCCCGAAUUGGCACAGGGCCACACAUUUACUCCAGUAAUGAGGUCUCUGGUUCCUAGUGGGCUCCAGUGGUUUGGGAGACUCCACUAAUAAACCAAGAAAAACUGUGGGAAAAUUGCCAGCUGAGGUUAGCUGAGUUUCGUUUCUUUUCCUUUCUUUUCUUUUUGCCUAGUACAUUCUAAGAAGGCAGAGCCUCCCCUUGUUGGUCCUUGGCAAGCUUGGGGCCCAGGGGCUGAACUGUCUGUAUAGUGGGGCCUUGCCCAGUCCUGCUCUCCUUUAUUUUAGUCCACCCCCCCUCCAUAAUCUUAUUCAUCUGGUUCUUGCUUGCUAAGCAGUCCUGUUUCUCUAACUCAAACGAAAGAAGGGACAGACAUCCUCUGCUUUUCUUCCUUUCCCUUACUUCCCAUCUUCUAAACUUUACAGAUAUGUCAGAAUCUUAUAUUACUGCAGCUGAGGUUCAAGGUGGGUUGCUGUAUACAAAGUAUUUAUCGAUAGUGUCUCAAAAAACUAGAGGAAAAUGCUUUUUUGGAGGGGUGGGAAACAGAUGAACUGGGCUUUGCAGAAUGUCUGCUGUAAAUACCCAGUGGAAGGGUAGGAGCGUGGAGUUGUUCCCUUGGGGGAAGCGGGCAGUGGUCUUACUUUGAGUUCAACACACCCUCCCCUGUCUCUGCAGCCAGAAUGCUCCUCUAGGAGGAGGCCAGUUGUGGCUCAUGGGUCAGGUGAAGGCAGGCUAAGGGUGUAGGGUCAGCAGGGUGGACCUCCUGGUCUUUGGGAGGUCUACUCAAAUGAGGCUGAGUAGUCUACAAGACAUCCUAAUUGAGGCAGUGUAUUCCUCAAAGGUAGACCUUAGGUCCUCUGCAUUACAGUCCUCUAGGUGUUUGUUAAACCAGUGGACUCAGAAUCCAGAUCGAAGUGGUGAUGCCCAGCAGUCAGCAUGUGUGACAUCCCUGCCUGGGCCUUGCAUGCACACCUGUUUGUGGGUGAGCAGCUGCAUCUGGCUUGAAAUCCAGACUGGAGUCUUGAGUGGGAAAAGAAUGAAAAUAAGAAUUUUGGCCCACAAUCCAACUGCUGUGUUUUCUACAAAUAUAAAAUAGAACCUACUGUAAACCUAGCAACAAAAAUCAAAUCUCCAGCAAUCUAUAACACUUACUAAUUCUGUUUUGCUUCACCACUAACAAAGAUUUCUGUCUUUUUAAAAAAUUAUUAAUUGUAGUAAAAUUCACAAACAUAAAAUUUACCAGUGUAAACAUUUUUAAGUGUGAAGUUUAGUAGUGUUAAGGACAUUCACAUUGAUGUGGAAUGAAUCUCUAGAAAUCUUCUCAUUUUUCAAAAUUAAAAAAUUGAACCCAUUAAAUGAUGACAAAUUUCCUCUCCCUCCUCAACCUGGCAACCACUCUUCUUUCUGUCUCUAUGGCUUUCUCUGCUGUAGGUCCUUGUGUAAGUGGAAUCAUGCAAUAUUUGUCCUUUUUUUUCUUUUGGCAGGCUUAUUUCACUUACUGUAGCACACUUUCUAAAUGUAAAGAAUUAGUAAGGUACAAGCUGCUCUCAAAUGACAACUGUUUUCUGGGCUCCUCUAGCAGAAUUCUGAUUUUUGUUUUGUUUUGAGCAGUUGUUCUGGGCCCUCAGUUUGCCAAGGCCAAGUGCAGACCUACUCGUGCUUUGCCAGAGGAUUCAGCUGUCCUGGCCAGCUUGGGUCCUCAGUGACGACAGUCUUGCCAAUUUGUUAGAAGUCUUUGAACAUUUUCUUCCUGCAUAAUUUCUACGGUGGAGCUUUUAAAAUUUUCAUUCAAAGAAAAAGGGAGAAAAAUAGACCCAAGUAAGCCUUAGCUUUUGCCCCAAAAGCCAGAAAUCAGUGACUGUCUCCUUCCAGUCUGAAGAUGGUCCCCUUGGUAAUGAAGUCACUCAAUUCCUUCAACUAAAUGAUCCGUUCAGCUUUGAUAUACAAGUUUUAUCUCCUCUAGAAUUUGUGUUCUCAACCCUGAGCUCAUUAGUUCGGGGCCCUGUUGGAGUUUCAGGGUUAAGAAGGCUGGUGUGGAACCUGUCUAGCAAGUUCCCGUGAUCUGGUGAUACACUGUGAGGACCACUGCCCUGGGUGAUCUUUCAACUACAUUGUCCCAGUUCUGCCACAUUAUCUUUCUUGGUUGGAGGCCCCUUCCCCCAAAUCUAAUUUGGGCCUUUCUUCUUCUGAACAGUUUAAACAUUUAAAUAAACAUGAUGAAAUAUUUCUACAGCAAAGUAACAGAGUUCUCCCAAGGUUAGGAAACUCAGUGUGCCCAAAAUUUGUAUCCAUCUGUGCCUAGAAUUAGGGUGCAUUUUGUGAUCAGAACCAAGAGGUGAGUGACUCGAGCUUGGAGGUCAUUUUGUGGCUAGUCCUGGGGUAGGAUCCGAGUCCCCCAUGGCACACUGUAGCAUAGGGAGGACCUACCUGCCCACCUGGCUGAAAGUAGAACAUACCCAGAAAACGUGUUCAAAGUAUACCUGCAAAGUGACAAUGAAGGAACAUACUACAGUGGCCAAGGCUGGUGUGGCCCUACUUCAUUAUCCUCUUCCUUUUCUACCUGCCUUUGGAAAAACUUGAGUUGAAACAGUUAGUACCUGGUGUCUGCUUUCAUCUCCAACCACAGGCAAAUUCUUUGCUCUGAAGAUGUCCCUGGCAGGUGCAGCUUCAACCCUGUGGCAGCUCAGAAUGCAGCAUUAAUCCACCAAGUUCGCAAGAACACCCGAAGAUCUUGAAAAACUUAUUAAAAGAGAAAAUGGUUACCAUUUUACUAAAACAAGAAGAUAGCACACUUCACUUCCCAGAUCUACUUACCAGCAAGUUCCCUCAGCCCCAAGGUAGCUGAAGACUCAGAGGAAGGAAAAUGAAUUUUGAACCCCAGAAAUAGAUACUGUAACGCUGUGUAUCAAAGGCCAAACCAUUUUUGAACAAUGAAUCCCUCUUGCCUUUCACUUUAAUUUUAAAUUCAAUUCUAGUGAACUUGGUCUUGGUUUUUUAAUAAUGAAGCAAAUGAAGAGAAUGAUAACAGGUGCUAGAUAUAGCAAGAAAUAGCAGCUAAUAGUCUAAUAGUGAAUGUAUUACAAAGACCAAAUCCAUGUAUGUCAGCAACUGUCAUGUGACUGGAGGCCACCAAAUGGAGGAGCAGGGAUAUUAGGGAGAUUGUAACACCCUCCAGAUCAACAGAGCAUUUCUGCUCCAUUCAGCCUUUGACAUCCACAGCCACACACAAAACAGUAUACUGUCUUUAUGAAGGCAAGCAGGGAUCUUAUCCACUGUAGAAUUAUUUCCAUCCCCAAACACUUAUAGCAUGGUCAUCAAAGUCUUGGUGCUUAAAAGAUCAGUCUUCAGUGACCUCAGAGUUCCUGUAGGUGAAAUAGCUCAUUAUCUGGUGAUGCAGGACAUCUGAGAUCAGUAAAUGGCCUCUCUUCUACUUGCCUUUCCCUUCAGACAGUGGCAAUUACUGCUACCUCUCUCUCAAGAAAUAAGAAACAGGCCCCUUCUACCUUCACACCUCAAAGGGACCUUGUGUUGUGUUGAUGGCUUGGCCAGGACAUCCUCUUUCUGUACCUCUGCUCUACUUGAGCUAUUUGCACAUGGGAGGAAGCUUGCUAGAGCCAGGGCAGCCUCUGCAGCAGCUCAGGCCUGGGUUCAUGUAUGAACUUAAAAAUAUGACUGUUUGCUCACAAGUGAACACUUCCACUUUCUAAACACCUUCACCAUCCAUUUUUCACUGGGCUUUGUUGCAUCCUGGGAGGAGGAUAGGGCAGACAGUAGCAGUCCUAUUUGACUCCAGUCCAAGAAGAUGGUGGUGCCAUGCCCAGGUCACCUGUGAUUAAUGGUGGAGGUCUCCCCUUGGGUGCACAAGCUUUCCCAAAGUGGGAGAGGCUAGAGGGCAGGGAGAGGUGGCCAGUGUCCUACUCUAGCCCCUGUUCUGGCUUUCUUCUCAUUGGGGUGAUCUAGCUGAUCCGGAGUAUGGUCCAGGUCUAGGCCUUACCCUUGGACUCGCACCCUGUGCGUUGUCUCUGGAGGGGCUUGUUGAGUAUUCAUUCCUGCCUGGAGGCCAAGGCUAGGGCACCCAGCAGUGCCGGCUGAAAGUUCCUGGUGGGGCAAAGGGAGGCAGUUGUAUUUGACAGUCACCAGGGCCACAGACUUAAAUAAAAUGGAAGUGUGGAGGGAGUGGGCAUUGGGUCCCGUGACAUCAGUCCACCCCACUGCUGUGACCACUUGUGAGGAAGCUGGUGGGUCCUGAGUGACAGCUCCUGCUAGACCCUGGGAGCCAGUCCUAUUAUAUAUUUUUCUGGGGUGAUGCUUGGCCCUCAUUGUGGCUGACUUCUGAGCAAGUUCCUAGGGUGGAAGUCACUUUGUGAGGCAACCAGUCUUUUCUGAGGGCCCUACUCUCUGCACACAAGAGUUAGGGAGGUGGCAGGGGUUAGAUGGCUUGCAGAUUCCCUUUCUGGAUAGGACUGACUUCCCUGCAGAGAGCCAUAACAAUGUCAUAUUGUCAGAACUAUGAAAUAAGUGUACAUGUGAAUGUACUUUUUAAAUGAUCAUUUCAUCUAAAGAGGACCUUGGGUUGCUCAGUGGUUCAUCUGAAAUUGAUUCCCUGCCAUCUCUUCUCCAAACAAAACCAGGACAGAUCCUGGGGGCAGCAGAGAAGCUAAGGAAGCUGCUUGCCCAUUGUCUGCAGCUCUGUACCUGGUGAGGCUUCAGCCCAGAGGUCCUGCCUGGGUGGCAGACAGAGGAGCUUGUCCCAAGGGCUUGGUGGUAGUGACUCAUCUCUGAAUGGCUUCUAUCCAUUGCUUGACCCAUUCCUCCCUGCUUUCCUUUCCAAGAGCCAAGUCAUGCUAUGCGGUACUCCAUGGAGCCUUUUUCACUGGAGAAAGAAAGGGAGGUCCACUGCAUUUGCUGGGAUGUAGAGCAACAUCUUGUUUUGUUGAUUUGCCUUCCCCUUGGCCCUGGUGAGAAACAAGUUGUGUCAGUUGGAAAGACUUGAGGAGAAGAGGUCACACCACUACCCUAGUUUUAUGCAAAUAUUAUUGUGGGAGCAUUUGGUUCAUAAAACUCCAGCAAUAUAAUUCUAGCUGCGUGUGACUGUCCUUGAGUAGUGAUUUUGCAGUGAUGGCUGGCACUCUGGGCCCAAAAAUAUUAUCAGGGUACUUUGUGUCUGUCACUGUGUUUGAAAGACCCUUAAUUUCUACCCAAUAAAACCAAUCAACUCUUCAAACCUGCUCUCUCUAAGUAAAACCUCUCUAUCAAGAUCCAAAGUCACAUCAAAGGCACUUGAAUAGUAAUAACACCUCAUGAAGAAACAGGGCUGGGGUUAUACCUCAGCGGCAGAGUGCUUGACUAGGAUGAGUGAGGCCCCAUGUUUGAUCCCCAGAACUUAAGAAAAACCCACCACCAAUAACAAAUUUUUAUGUCAGUCUGUGUGAGUGCACAUAUAAUAG
rnacentral:lncRNA from 1 species